GACGAACGCUGGCGGCGUGCUUAACGCAUGCAAGUCGAACGGAAAGGCCCUGCUUUUUUGGUGUGCUCGAUUGGCGAACGCGUGAGUAACACGUGAGUAACCUGCCCUUGACUUUGGGAUAACUUCAGGAAACUGGGGCUAAUACCGUAUAGGAUCUCCUGCUGCAUUGUGGGGGUUGGAAAGUUUCGGCGGUUGGGGAUGGACUCGCGGCUUAUCAGCUUGUUGGUGGGGUAGUGGCUUACCAAGGCUUUGACGGGUAGCCGGCCUGAGAGGGUGACCGGCCACAUUGGGACUGAGAUACGGACCAGACUCCUACGGGAGGCAGCAGUGGGGAAUAUUGCACAAUGGGCGGAAGCCUGAUGCAGAAACGCCGCGUGCGGGAUGACGGCCUUCGGGUUGUAAAACGCUUUCGCCUGUGACGAAGCGUGAGUGACGGUAAUGGGUAAAGAAGCACCGGCUAACUACGUG
rnacentral:rRNA from 1 species